rnacentral:rRNA from 1 species
UACGAAGGGGGGCUAGCGUUGUUCGGAAUUACUGGGCGUAAAGGGCGCGUAGGCGGCGUGUCAAGUCAGGCGUGAAAGCCCCGGGCUCAACCUGGGAACCGCGCUUGAGACUGGCAUGCUCGAGUUCGGGAGAGGAUGGUGGAAUUCCCAGUGUAGAGGUGAAAUUCGUAGAUAUCGGGAGGAACACCAGUGGCGAAGGCGGCUCUCUGGGCAGAUACUGACGCUGAGACGCGAAAGCAUGGGGAGCAAACAGGGAUUAAGAAACCCUGGUAACG